UGGGGAAUAUUGCGCAAUGGGCGAAAGCCUGACGCAGCAACGCCGCGUGAUGGAUGAAGUCCCUCUGGGACGUAAACAUCUUUUAUGAGGGAGAAAGUUUAUUGAUAGUACCUCACGAAUAAGGGGUUGCUAAACUCGUGCCAGCAGCAGCGGUAAUACGAGUGCCCCGAGCGUUAUCCGGAAUCAUUGGGCGUAAAGGGUGUGUAGGUGGCAGUGUUAGUCGAUUGUUAAAACCUGGGGCUCAACCCCAGAUGUGCGAUCGAAACGGCACAGCUAGAGGAUGGCAGGGAUGUAUGGAACUCAUGGAGUAGGGGUGAAAUCCGUUGAUAUCAUGGGGAACACCGAAAGCGAAAGCAGUACAUUGGGCCACUCCUGACACUGAAACACGAAAGCGUGGGUAGCGAAUGGGAUUAGAUACCCGCGUAGUCCCUGAGCGGGCUGGCAAGGCGCAU
rnacentral:rRNA from 1 species